AUUCAUUCGUUGAAGAGAAGAGUAAAUUUUGAUGACCUUCAAAAGAGAGUCCUGAUUGGUGAAAAGGGACAAGGUUCAGAAAAGUUGAAGAUGGCCUCUGAGAAUAAAUUGCUGAUAAGUAAGCAAUUUCGGCUAAGCACCCGUUACCAUGUGCACCAAGUUAAUAAAGACUUGGAUAAGAGAUGAGAUAUAAAGAAUCAGUUAUAUUUCAAAAAAAGGUGGUACCGCGAAUCAUUCGCCCUUUAC
rfam:Mycobacterium abscessus strain PAP053 genome assembly, contig: ERS075544SCcontig000014